GUGAAAGUGAAGUUGCUCAGUCGUGUCUGACUCCUUGCGACCCCGGGGACUACAGCCCACCAGGCUCCUCCAUCCAUGGGAUUUUCCAGCAAGGACAUCCAACCAGUCCAUCCUAAAGAAAAUCAACCCUGAAUAUUUACUGGAAGGACUGAUGCUGAAGCUGAAGCUCCAACACUUAAGCCACCUGAUGCAAAGAGCCGACUCACUAGAAAAGACCCUGAUUCUGGGAAAGAUUGAAGUCAGGAGGAGAAGGGGAUGAGGAUGGUUGGAUGGCAUCACUGGCUCAAUGGACCAGAGUUUGAGCAAACUCUGGGAGUUGGUGAUGGACAGGGAGGCCUGGCAUGCUGCAGUUCACGGGGUUGCAGAGAGAUGGAUUGACUUAGUGACUGAGCAACAACAACAAAACAUUUAUGUGAAUUUAGGAAUUAUAGGAUGUAUGUAUAUAUAUAUCUGUUUUUUCUUUUUCUGGCCACUUGAAACAUUUACUGCCAACAGCUGGUUCUCAGCAAUCUGACUGACGCUCCUCCUGUGGCUGGUCUCUGCCACCUGCUCUGUGUCUUCUUCCUGGACUCUAAUUACACACGUUUGACUACUUGACAAUUAACCUACAGGUUGCUGAGCUUGUGUGUUUGUAUUUUGUCUUUUUCCUCUCUGUCUGAACAUUUUCCAUUGCAGUGUCUGCAUAUUCACUGAUCUUUCUUUUGGAAUAUCUAAUCCAAUGUUACAAUUGUCCAGUUAAAUUUUCCCAACAGAUACUAUACUUUUCUCCUCUAGAAGUCCCAUUUGAUUCUUUUUUAAAAAAUAUUUUCCAUCUGUCUCUUCAUCCUGCUCAUGUUUUCCUUUUAGAUUUUAAAUAUGCGUGUAAUGUAUUUUUAGGUGUCCUUGUCCGCUGUUUCCGGCCUCUCAUUUGUAGAUUUGUUUCUUUUGACUGAUUUUCCUUCUUGUUAUGGGUCAAAAUUUGCUGAUUUUUUUUUUUGCAUGUCUAGUAAUUUUUAAUUGGAUGCAGGACAUGAACUUUAGGUCACUGAGUGUUUGGAUUUUGUUUCUUUUUUAAAAGGGUUUUUGAAUUUGUUUUGCUCAAAAAUUAAGUUAUGUGUUUCUGAUUAACCCUUACCAAGUUUAUUUACUUAUUUAAAUUGGAGCCUGUUGCUUCACAACGUCGUGGUCGUUUCUUCUGUACAACAGCGUGAAUCAGACAUGUAUACACAUAUAUCCGCUCCCUCUCG
ensembl:lncRNA